CCUACGGGAGGCAGCAGUCGAGAAUCAUUCACAAUGGGGGAAACCCUGAUGGGGCGACGCCGCGUGGGGGAAUGAAGGUCUGCGGAGUGUAAACCCCUGUCAUGUGGGAGCAAAUUAAAAAGAUAGUACCACAAGAGGAAGAGACGGCUAACGCUGUGCCAGCAGCCGCGGUAAUACAGAGGUCUCAAGCGUUGUUCGGAACCACUGGGCGUAAAGCGUGCGUAGGCUGUUUCGUAAGUCGUGUGUGAAAGGCGCGGGCUCAACCCGCGGACGGCACCUGAUACUGCGAGACUAGAGUAAUGGCGGGGGAACCUGAAUUCUCGGUGUAGCCGU
rnacentral:rRNA from 1 species